rnacentral:rRNA from 1 species
GUCCUGGCUGGGCUGUCCGGCCUCACGGUACUACUUCGGUCGGGGUUCACCUUCUGGUGAGCCAGCAUGCCCUUCACUGGGUGUGUUUGGGGAACCAGGACUUUUUACUUUGAAAAAAUUAGAGUGUUUAGAGCAGGCAAUCCGCUCGAAUACAUUAGCAUGGAAUAAUGGAAUAGGACCCUGGUUCUAUUUUGUUGGUUUCUAGGACCGAAUA